AACGAACGCUGGCGGCAUGCCUAACACAUGCAAGUCGAACGGGACCUUCGGGUCUAGUGGCGCACGGGUGCGUAACGCGUGGGGAUCUGCCCUUAGGUACGGAAUAACUCAGGGAAACUUGAGCUAAUACCGUAUAAUGACUUCGGUCCAAAGAUUUAUCGCCUAGGGAUGAACCCGCGUAGGAUUAGCUUGUUGGUGAGGUAAAGGCUCACCAAGGCGACGAUCCUUAGCUGGUCUGAGAGGAUGAUCAGCCACACUGGGACUGAGACACGGCCCAGACUCCUACGGGAGGCAGCAGUGGGGAAUAUUGGACAAUGGGCGAAAGCCUGAUCCAGCAAUGCCGCGUGAGUGAUGAAGGCCUUAGGGUU
rnacentral:rRNA from 1 species